rnacentral:lncRNA from 11 species
GUUUCAUUCAAUAUUCGGAGAAUAUGAAGAGCCAGCCCUACAAUUAGGUGGUUGGAGGCAGCAACGUACUGUUGGACAACACAACUGUGAAACCUGUUGCAUGACAAGUGACAUUUCUUGAGAUAUCCUUUUCUGCAUAACUCUUAAAAUAUAAAAGCACCAUGUCUCUCCCUGCCCUGCCUUGUGGCCGCUGCAACUCGGAAAGAGAGAGAAAAAAACUCCAAGAGACAAAAUAAGCCAUGGUCCAUUUCAACCAGUGAUAAGAGUAUAACAACAAAGAGUGUCCUGAGCAUAAUCAGUUUGUGCAAACUGUGUUCAAAGUGCAAAAGUGGUUCGAAAUGAACUCAGUUCAGCAAGGACGAAAGCAGAGGAGAUGAGAGUGGAAUUUUAUUGGGUGGCUCUUCUAAGAGAGGAUGUAUUGAAAUGGAGGACAAACUUUUAGAGCAGGCUAUUUGGAUGAGAAGAAAGAAGAAAAAGAACGGCAAAGCAUUUCAAGAUUAAUGCAGAGGAAAAAGAGGUGUCCAACACAGCCAUAGUUUCAAUGAUCUCUUUCUUCGAGGUGUCUUGAAGAGAGCCAAGGUACUACGUGACAAAUAAACUGGGAAAUUGCAUGUGCUGCAGCACAGACAAUAUUUCUGGUCACCUUUCCUCCCAUGGUUGUCUCUGAGGACCCCUUGAAUCUUGUCCCUAUUGAAACAGCAGGAUGUAUGGAGAGCAUGUGAUGUGAACUGCCUGUGGAUGAUGGGAUAUGUAGCUCUGGGGGGUAUUUGUUUGAUCAAAGAUGGGCUGGCAUCCUGUACUCAUUUGAGAUAUACUAGAAACUAUAA